rnacentral:rRNA from 1 species
CCGUUGCUCUACCGAUUGAUGGCUCGGUGAGGCCUUCGGACUGGCGCAGGAGGGUUGGCAACGACCCCCCCGCGCCGGAAAGUUGGUCAAACCCGGUCAUUUAGAGGAAGUAAAAGUCGUAACAAGGUUUCCGUAGGUGAACCUGCGGAAGGAUCAUUA